GCUGGGCAUAUUGGCAGGUGCCUGUAAUCCCAGCUACUCGGGAGGCUGAGGCAGGAGAAUCACUUGAACCUGGGAGACUGAGAUUGCAGUGAGCAAAAAUCGUGCCACUGCACUCCAGCCUCGGUAACAGAGUGAGACUCAGUCUCAA
ensembl:misc_RNA Metazoa_SRP Metazoan signal recognition particle RNA